AGAGUUGAUCAUGGCUCAGGAUGAACGCUAGCGACAGGCUUAACACAUGCAAGUCGAGGGGCAGCACGGGAGUAGCAAUACAACUGGUGGCGACCGGCGCACGGGUGAGUAACGCGUAUGCAACCUACCUAUCAGAGGGGAAUAACCCGGCGAAAGUCGGACUAAUACCGCAUAAAACAGGGGCACCGCAUGGUGAUAUUUGUUAAAGAAAUUCGCUGAUAGAUGGGCAUGCGUUCCAUUAGGUAGUUGGUGAGGUAACGGCUCACCAAGCCGACGAUGGAUAGGGGAACUGAGAGGUUGGUCCCCCACACUGGUACUGAGACACGGACCAGACUCCUACGGGAGGCAGCAGUGAGGAAUAUUGGUCAAUGGGCGAGAGCCUGAACCAGCCAAGUCGCGUGAAGGAAGAAGGAUCUAUGGUUCGUAAACUUCUUUUGCAGGGGAAUAAAGUGCGGGACGUGUCCUGUUUUGUAUGUACCCUGAGAAUAAGGAUCGGCUAACUCCGUGCCAGCAGCGGC
rnacentral:rRNA from 1 species